CAGCCGCCGCGGGAAUACGGAGGGUGCAAGCGUUACUCGGAAUCACUGGGCGUAAAGGACGCGUAGGCGGUUCGUACAGUUGGAUGCGAAAUUCCUGGGCUUAACCUGGGGGCUGCAUUCAAUACGUGCGGGCUUGAGUGUGGAAGAGGGUUGUGGAAUUCCCAGUGUAGAGGUGAAAUUCGUAGAUAUUGGGAAGAACACCGGUGGCGAAGGCGGCAACCUGGUCCAUAACUGACGCUGAGGCGCGAAAGCGUGGGGAGCAAACAGGAUUAGAUACCCCCGUAGUCCCUGUCUCUUAUAC
rnacentral:rRNA from 1 species